UCAGUGUUCUCCAAACCCUCUAACGCUGCCGCAGACAGCCGAGAUGGAUGCUUACACAGUGGAAAGUAGAAAAUUAAAAGGAAGCGUCUGAUAAACUGACAGGAGGCACCUCAGGAUAGAGGAGCGGGAGAUGGAACGAUCAGGAGGAGCGUUGAGGAGAGGCUGAUGGAUAUGCAGCAUGUUUGGAGCAAAGCUGCCCUCCCAGUGGGAGGGUAACUCUGAAGUGCCUUUUUUUCCCUCCACCUGAACCAAUCCUCAUGUAACCCUCUUAUCUCUAUUAAGGUAGCGCGACUCAUGGUUGCGAAUGACCACAGUCACCAAUUCUUGUCAUGUGUCUUGCCCAUGUAUGUCUGAUCUCUGAAUUGUGUGUACUGAAACUCUAAUUUCCCUCUGGGAUUAAUAAAGUAUCUUUGAUUGAUUGAUUGAUUGAUUGAUUGAUUGAUUGAUUGAUCAUCACCAGUGUGAAUGGGUGAAUGACUGACUGUGUUGUGAAGCGCCUUGGGGGGUUGUAGAACCUUAAGAAGGUGCUAUCCAAAUACAGACCAUUUAAAAUGGAUUUAGUAGUGCUGUCACAUUGGUUUUAAUGUGCUAUUCUCUCGAAUGGGAAGAACAUUGAAUCGUUAAAUGUGCUAUACACAUAAAGCCGACUUGCCUUGCCUAAUAAAACAAAUAAAAGUAUAAAAAAACCUA